ACAACAUCAUAACAGAAAGUUUUAUCGUAAAAAAUCAACAGUAAAACAUUCGCCAAAUAAAAAACAGUCCCUUGCCCGUUCAGAUGCAGUUGUAUUUUUUUCCACUAGUACUACUAGUCGCGAUGCUAGUGAAGAUACCAUGACUCUGUUUAUAUGGCCUCGAUUAAGUUGAAAUGGACAAUGCAUCUGAUGAGGAACUUUUGGUUUGAUUGAAACACUAUGAAGACAGCAUUAAAGCAUCUAGUAAUGAAACUCAGAGACGGGAUGAAGAAGGCAUUCUGGAACCAAAACCAGACCAUUCUUCAGUUUCAGACCUUCAGCAGCCAACAUCGUCUGUGGACGAUAUACCAUUGACGAAGAAAUGGAAAAAGACACUUCCAGCGGAAGACCAAGACUGGAUUUCAAAAACGUUCUUCGUCUAUGGAGUCAGAGGUCCCCAGUUUGAUUUUGACAGGGUGAAGAAGUUAUGGUAUGAUCCUCCUCAGCCAAGCCUAUCAAGAGGGAUAUUGAACAAACCAGAAUGCUUCUUUGGCCAUAGACUCUUCCUCUGGAUGCCGAGGCACUUGUUUCAAUACCAGUUUGUCUGCAUCCACGAGGGGUGUCAAGGGGCCUUGACAAACAUUAGGUUUCAUCAGAAGACCCGAAUGGU